rnacentral:rRNA from 1 species
UGAGGAAUAUUGGACAAUGGAGGCAACUCUGAUCCAGCCAUGCCGCGUGCAGGAAGACUGCCCUAUGGGUUGUAAACUGCUUUUAUAUGGGAAGAAUAAGGUCUACGUGUAGAUUGAUGACGGUACCAUAAGAAUAAGCACCGGCUAACUCCGUGCCAGCAGCCGCGGUAAUACGGAGGGUGCAAGCGUUAUCCGGAAUCAUUGGGUUUAAAGGGUCCGUAGGCGGGCAUAUAAGUCAGUGGUGAAAGUCUGUGGCUCAACCAUAGAAUUGCCAUUGAUACUGUAUGUCUUGAAUUAUUGUGAAGUGGUUAGAAUAUGUAGUGUAGCGGUGAAAUGCUUAGAGAUUACAUAGAAUACCGAUUGCGAAGGCAGAUCACUAACAAUAUAUUGACGCUGAUGGACGAAAGCGUAGGUAGCGAACAGGAUUAGAUACCCUGGUAGUCUACGCCGUAAACGAUGGAUACUAGUUGUUUGGCUUUCGGGCUGAGUGACUAAGCGAAAGUGAUAAGUAUCCCACCUGGGGAGUACGUUCGCAAGAAUG